rnacentral:rRNA from 1 species
GACGAACGCUGGCGGCGCGCCUAACACAUGCAAGUCGAACGAGGUCUUUUAGAAGCUUGCUUCUGGCUGACCUAGUGGCGGACGGGUGAGUAACACGUGAGCAACCUGCCCUACAGAGGGGGAUAACGCCUGGAAACGGACGCUAAUACCGCAUAAAGUAUUAGAUUCGCAUGGAUUUAAUACCAAAGAUUUAUCGCUCUGGGAUGGACUCGCGUUGGAUUAGAUAGUUGGUGGGGUAACGGCCUACCAAGUCAACGAUCCAUAGCCGGACUGAGAGGUUGAACGGCCACAUUGGGACUGAGACACGACCCAGACUCCUACGGGAGGCAGCAGUGGGGGAUAUUGCACAAUGGGCGCAAGCCUGAUGCAGCAACGCCGCGUGAAGGAAGACGGUUUUCGGAUUGUAAACUUCUGUUCUUAGUGAAGAAGAAUGACGGUAACUAAGGAGCAAGCCACGGCUAACUACGUGCCAGCCGCCGCCGUAAAAC